ensembl:antisense_RNA anr-34 ncRNA
CUCCUCAAAAACUUCAUCUUCAACCUCAUUCACCAUUAGAUUUGAUGCAAUUGUUGCUUCGUUGACGACAAGAUCCGAUGAGUUGUCUAGAAAAUUGGAAAAUAAAAUCAUAUUCAUUCCAUAUUGAUUUUGCAAGAAUUCAAAAAAACCCACCCAAACCAAAAUUAGCAGUUUCAUAUGCCCCAACAUUAUUCAUAUCACAAAUGUGUUGAUCAUUCGGUUGCAUUGGAUUGCGAUCCGAAUCUUGAUAAACUGCAGUUGCAAAUGGGUCAUAGGAACUCGAACUAGCAGAUGAGGAUGGAAGUGAAGAUUGGGACAUCAGUUGGAAAUCUGUAAAUGGGAUAUUUUUGGUCUAAAUUGAAAUUUGAUAGAGUAGAAAUUUGAUAGAGAGAAACUGACACCAAACAACUACUUUUCUGAAUGAGAAUUCUCAAAAAAAAAUUUGAUGGCGAAUUAAAACUUAUUUAAAAAAAAAACCUUUUUGCCACUUUUCCUUAUUGCAGCAAUCCAUUUUAAAAUUUUUAUUCAACUAACAUUAAAUUAUUAUAUUUUUCAAUGAUUAAGACACAUUUUCGGUCGAUAGGCACCCAAUAUUUGUAGGGUGCCUAGCGACUGGAAAUUCAUUUAAAUUAGUUUUAGUGAAUUUCGAUCCUGUCCAGUCGUAUAUUUCCUUCAAAAAUUUUACAGAAGUUACAACUGAGGCACAAAAUUCUCUCAAAAUAUUAGACGUCAAGUUUUACCUGGAUAUCUUCCAAUAAGUGGAUCAUAACCGUAGGACACUGGCGGACGAAGGUAUUCGUUUUGGAAGGCGUUCUAAAAUUAGAAAUUAAAAAAAAAACAGGAAAAAAUCAGAAAACAGAAACCCGUGAUUUCGGCGCGUCGCUCAUGCAAAUAAUUUGUAUUUUGGGAAAAUUAUACACUGUUUCUGUCUCAAUGUGACUUUUUAGAUAUAAAAAAAUGGGUUAGUCACUCUAAAAUUCUGAUAUGUGUUGUCAUAGAUUUUUGAUUUUUGAUUCAAGUGAUUCGUGUGAUUCGAUUGAGAGCCAGGUUUUGCCAAAAUUGGAAAAUUGGAAAUCCCGUUCCUGCUUGCAGAAAUAAUGCUGUUGAUCUACAAAUGUAAGUGCAUUAAAGGUUCAAUUAGAUUAUGUGAAACUUGUUUCAUGUUAAUGUUGAUAUUUCUAAAGAAUAUCUACAGUAACCCUACUGACUAUUUAGAUAUCUAAAUCUUGACGCUUUCUUAAGAAUCCAGGGUGUCAAUCCUUCUCGGGUCAUUCCAUUUGAUCCAAUUCAUCGUUCCUUGCCCGUCUUCAUCCCAUCAAAGCACCACUUCCUGCCAUAAAACAAUAGCGUGUCGUCGGGUGGUUCGAAUCUCUGUCCCUCUUCAUCUUUCAAACUAUUCUCCCAAUCGGUUCGAGACCCCUAGUAUACUCGGAAUGGCCUGUGCUGCUGGUUGCCCCUACCCUGCCGUCGUCUCGAUUCCCCUUUUCUCUUCGUCUCGCCUCACCACGGCCCCUAGAGGCGCGGGGCAAUCGCGCUCCUCUUCUUUAUUUUUACAGCCCCCUAUCAAUUAUUUUCCUUACAUUUUGUCGUUGAGUUGUUGUUGAUGUCGGAAGUCGGUGAAUAAUAUCUUGAUGGAAAUGAAGAUUUGGUGCCAUUUCCAAUCGUUCUCGUUUCUUAUUUGUUAUCAUUAAAUCAUCAUCACUGGUUCGCUUACCGGAACGUGGGCAAAAGCGAGAGGUGUUUUUCUGUAAAAGAGAUCCUCGGUUAUCACUGGAUUUUUAAGCUUUGAGGAAAGCUAACGGAUCUACUUUUUUGCUUUAUUACCAAACAAGACCGAAUUUCGCUAUGAAACUCUUCAAAAGAAAAAUCGAAAUUAUGGAAAAGAAGCUAAUUUUAACAAAAUCUGUCACAAUGGUAGGUAACGAAAUUUGGUGACUUUUCUGCUUUAAAUGUGGUGAACAACCGAAAUAAGAAAUAACAUGAUUUUCCGUUUUUUUCAGAUUUUUUGAAAAAAUUCAACUUUUCCAGAAAUAGCCUCAAAUUUUUGUUAUUUUUCUUCCUUGCAGAAAAAAAUUUUAUAUUUUCUUGUUGUUUUGCUGAUAAAAACUUGAAUUUUU